ensembl:lncRNA
GUUUUAAUCUUAUGAUUCAUAUAAUACUGAUGACGGAUUUUUAGGCUAAUAGUUAGGCUAACAUACUUACCUCUCAUCCUUUCUUUCCUCACAAAACCAAUAAAUCCUCCACUUCUUUUAAGUGUCUCCCAGCGCAAUUCUUAGCAUAUUUUUGUUCCUGCAACUGGUCCGUCGGGUUAUUGUCUCCCCAGAAACACUUCCCUUGUGCUUUUUUCUUUUUCAGUUUUCAUUUUUAGUAUUUCUGUUUUCUUUUUUCCUAUUUCCAUUGUGGUUUAUGUGCUUUUGCCGCAUUUUUUUUAUUGCUGGUGUUUGGCCUCUCAGGGCCACCAUAUUUUAGGGAUAAUGAAAAGUUGUGUGUUCAAUCAGAGGCUUCAAAAUAACAAUAAAAAACACCAAAAUCUCAGAGGAAGCACCAGCACCUUGUUGGGAGUGUGCCAUGAAGAAUUAAGGUUCCAACCUGGUACUAGCAAGCUAUAUUUCAUGAGCGGUGAGUGUAUACAGCAGUUUUGUCAAACAACAUUUAAACAUGCAUGCCUUUGCACUUAGUAAACAGUAGAGUAAAUAAAAUAAAAAAAAAUCUCUUCAGUUCGUCCUCCCUAAUGACCCACAGACCCCAGAAGACAAGACAGAAAAUGUAGCUGUAGUCUAUAAUUAGAGCUAGAGCACUCAAUCUUCUGCUUACUUAUUUUACAGUUACCAGUGGCAUAAUUAAGCUUGCACUGGAAUAAUGGACGUGAAAAAUGUGAAUGUGACUCCAGAUGAAGGCGCAAGUAAGCACCUUUCACUACUGUCACUCAAAAUCUGAUGUUCAUAACAAGUGCACUUUCUAAACCUUCUAAAAUGUCCAUCCCACAUAAUUCCACAUGUUCAAAAUUGCAGAUCUUUCCUCUAAUGAGAUAUUCUGCUGCCUGUGUCCAGCCUCGACAUUCCUCCGCUGGGUUUAUUCAUCUGCUUUCACCGGCCUCAGCAACAAGGGAUUCACACCCGCAACCAUCCGGGGGCAGACUGACGAGCCUCUGCUUACUGUCCAAACUCACCG